GGAAACCACCGCCUCCAGCGGCCGGCCAGCUCUCCUGCUUCUCUUGCGCUCUUGGGCUCGGCCCUGGCGAGGGUCAGAGGGUCUGAAGACGCGCGUGGUGACAGUGGGACACGCAUCUGUUGGGAAGGCACUC
ensembl:miRNA